CGAGUUUGUAUAUCAGAUAAAGAUCGGCUGCUCAUAUCAGAUUAACUAGUACUUGAAACGUUGUAAACAAACCUGAAAACCUACCAUUGAUCAUUGAAAAAUUAUAUACAUUUUUAUUACUUUCUGAUCUGACUUACAGACUUGGAAGAGAGAUGCAAGUUGGCUUCACUGUAUAGACUUUCUAAAAGAAGAAGACUUACCCUAUAGUAAACGCUACAGAUAUGAAGUGAAAUGGAGUAUUCCUACAAGAAGGAAACCAAUACCUCGUGCUACAGCAUCAACGUACUUUACGCUGAAUGUUAGUAAAGUUAGACCAAAGGUAACAUGUUGUCAUUAAGUUCGUUAUGUUUUCUCUGUUUUUGUGUGUAUAUUUGUGUUAUUAUAUUUAAUAUAUAGCUUGUAAAUACUGUAAUAAACGGCCUCUUGAAAAACAUGUGCCUACGAGCCCUGAAGAGCUACCGUUUUAAAAUAUUUUUUAAUAAUAAUAAUAAUAAUAAUAAUAAUAAUAAUACGUGCAUGACAAUCACACUCAAGCUCGACAUAAGUGCCGAGCCGUUACAAGUCUCGCUCACUCUUCGUUUCAAAUCAUGACCUGAUCUCGUAUUACACUGGAUAGACCUUAUCAAAAAAUCCAUUUCGAACGAGACUUGGAUCAAAUCAAGUCAUAUACAUGAACCUGCAUAUUUAUGUUCAGCGCCUUCAACUACCGGCCAUUCAUUCAUUCGUUCGUUUAUCAAUUCAUGAAGAAAUUUGCCUAACAUUGUUUACAUCGUUGCUAUACCCAAUUCAGAACUUUAAAUUACUCGCAUGCCUAAUUAUACAAUUGUUCUACAGGGUGUUAGCCAGAAAAACAAAAUUCGGCAAUUUAAUAAAAUAUUGUGAAAUUCAGUUAGCCCGCGACAUUCAGAAUUGAGUUUAAGAAAUAUCUCCUUGUUCCCUUAUUGCUAAUUGACGCUGGUCUGCAUGAAUGCGACGUCGCGUCGCUUACAUGCAAGUGCCUCAUGGCCAAGCGCAAGACGCUGAUUGGGCACAUUUGCUGAUCUAUUAAAAUUGAUACCUUUGAAGUGCAACAACUGUCAUUGUAGUGCAUAGUAAAAACAGAUAAAUAUAAUUAUUUUAGGCUUAGGCCGACUAUAGAUGACAUCCUCACAACACUGAUAUGGUUCCCACUUCUUCUUGAGCAAAGUUCUAUUGAAGUUGAACAAUCUUCUAUUUUUAAUUGUUUCUCAUAAAGUUAUACUGUAUGUUAGUUUUGGCAGACCUAAAUUGGGAAAUUGGAAAAACAGCGUAUAACGCCGAAUUUUUUACUGUUUUAAUUUACAAGCCAAAUUUGUCUAUUCGUGAAUUUAUUGAGUCAUUCUUUUUUGAAAUCCAUAUUAAUUGUAAUGGUGAUGAUAGUUAUGAAGGAUUUUUUUCGGCAGAUUAUUUUGAGUUGAAUUCGAAAUCUUUCCAUACUGUAGGUUGACGCACGGAUAUUUCGUGAAAGGGCUAUUAAAGGCGUAAGCAGUGAACUCAGUUUAUUUUUACUUUACCGGUUUUAUUUAUUUUUACUUUUUAUUUUUUUAUUGAUAAAAGACAUGCAUGGAGUUCACUUGGCGUAUGUGGCGAAGACUGCAUGCAUGGGUGUGCGCAUGCCCCUGGACCCACAUCUAUCAUUGUGUGUAGAGUCAAGCUUUUAUUUUUUCGUUUUUAAUUCAGAACUAUCCAAUUGAGGUUUAUUAUGUGUUUGAAGGCCACCAAUUUGUGCACAGGUAAGCACCACAUGUCCGGAUUUUGAAGGGAGGUGUGGGGAGGUCGCACCUGGGGAGGUGCGCACCUCCCCUGAGAUCGUUCUGCACCUCCCCUGAGAAUUUUUGCACCCCCCUGAAAAGUGACGCACCCCCCUUGGGAAAGCUUCA